rnacentral:rRNA from 1 species
UACGGAAGGUGCAAGCGUUGUCCGGAUUUAUUGGGCGUAAAGAGCUCGUAGGCGGUGUGUCGCGUCGGCCGUGAAAACCUGCAGCUUAACUGUGGGCUUGCGGUCGAUACGGGCAUCACUGGAGUUCGGCAGGGGAGACUGGAAUUCCUGGUGUAGCGGUGAAAUGCGCAGAUAUCAGGAGGAACACCGGUGGCGAAGGCGGGUCUCUGGGCCGAUACUGACGCUGAGGAGCGAAAGCGUGGGGAGCGAACAGG